rnacentral:rRNA from 1 species
GAUGAACGCUGGCGGCGUGCUUAACACAUGCAAGUCGAACGAAGCACUUUACUUGAUUUCUUCGGAAUGAUUGUUCUGUGACUGAGUGGCGGACGGGUGAGUAACGCGUGGGUAACCUGCCUCAUACAGGGGGAUAACAGUUGGAAACGACUGCUAAUACCGCAUAAGCGCACAGCAUUGCAUGAUGCAGUGUGAAAAAACUCCGGUGGUAUGAGAUGGACCCGCGUCUGAUUAGCUAGUUGGUGAGGUAACGGCUCACCAAGGCGACGAUCAGUAGCCGACCUGAGAGGGUNACCGGCACAUUGGGACUGAGACACGGGCCCAAAAUCCUAACGGGAGGCA